rnacentral:rRNA from 1 species
ACUCCUACGGGAGGCAGCAGUAGGGAAUCUUCCACAAUGGACGAAAGUCUGAUGGAGCAACGCCGCGUGAGUGAAGAAGGGUUUCGGCUCGUAAAAACUCUGUUGUUAAAGAAAGAACAUAUCUGAGAGUAACUGUUCAGGUAUUGACGGUAUUUAACCAGAAAGCCACGGCUAACUACGUGCCAGCAGCCGCGGUAAUACGUAGGUGGCAAGCGUUGUCCGGAUUUAUUGGGGCGUAAAGCGAGCGCAGGCGGUUUUUAAGUCUGAUGUGAAAGCCUUCGGCUCAACCGAAGAAGUGCAUCGGAAACUGGGAAACUUGAGUGCAGAAGAGGACAGUGGAACUCCAUGUGUAGCGGUGAAAUGCGUAGAUAUAUGGAAGAACACCAGUGGCGAAGGCGGCUGUCUGGUCUGUAACUGACGCUGAGGCUCGAAAGUAUGGGUAGCAAACAGGAUUAGAUACCCUGGUAGGAUAGCG